AAGAAAGAUAAUCCCACAAGCAGAAAAAAUAAGACAUCCCUCUCGGCUUUCCCAUUGCACUAAUGAGUUUACAACAUGACUUCUCAGUUUCAACAGAGGGACGGACAGACCCUGUUCUUAACAGAUUAUAGUGCCCCUACAGAUCAGGUAGGCACAUAUAAUAUAAAAUAAGAAAAUAUAAGCGGCUCGCAGGCACGCCCCGUUACAAGAAUCCAAACAUGAAACUGGUAUUGAGUCACUCCAUUAAGGAUCUAACGAAGGAAAGUUCAUAGAUUGCCCGUCGCUGGGUUACAGUCUUGUAAGACUUGGUGUUAUCCANAUCCCGGGAGCGGUCUUCUCUUCGGUUUCACUUGGAAUGUGAGUGUUCAUUUGAAGAUCAAGUGUAUGUUCUCGUGCUGAUGAGAAUUUAUUCGGGUGCCAGGCGAACAGUUUCAGCAACAAAACUCGAAAGAGGGUGGUGUCUGGGCUGCCAGUGGCUCUGUGGAAGUGGAAUACAAUAAAGUACGUAUUAUUGUCAGCAUAUUUUAUCUAAUUAUUCUCUCACCGUCGUUCAUUCUAUUUUCAGCUUGAUUCGUGCUUUGCACUUUUUCCGGAUGAGCAAAGCAAGGAGGAAGCCUUCAAAAGAUGCUAAAGCAGAAUUUCCAGACCUCUAGCACCCCUUCCUCAUUUACCUCCUCGCGACUUACCUGCAUGUUAGUUUAUGAAUCAACGUUUUACAUCUAACAAACUCGUUUGUGCUUAUGUAGGUUGUAUGUUUGAUGCCUUCAUGUUGAUGUGAACUGAAGCUUGUUCUUCAAUCUUCAUAUGAAAAGAAACAAGGCAAUAUGUUGGCAGUCAUUUGGAUUCGCUCCACACAUUUCAGUAUAGUUGUGAACCAUUAGUAAAGUCAUGUUCUCCACCAUGUACUCCCUCCGUCCCAAAUUACUUGUCAUAAAAAUGGAGGGAGCAGACAGUUAGUCCUGCAAGGGCAAAUCGUUCUCCCAAAAAGACAGCUACUAGGAAGAACGAGACACGAAGAUAGCUCAGUGAUUCUUCUUUGUCCCUGGAGGUCUUCUUUGUUGUACAACUUGUGCUCCGAUAUAUAUGUUCUCGUACUGUAAAGAUAUUUGCCCGUGGAGGUCUUCUUUGUUGUACAACUUGUGCUUAAAUUUCAGCAAGAGCCCUCGAUUCUGGAGGCAAAGAUUAAUGACCUCUAUUUGUUGGACGACUGGUCAUCUCCGUGCGAUCCACAGACUGAUGAUUUCCUCCAAACAAAAUGCAGAUAAAGUGCAUAUAAUUUGGAAGAGAUACAUGAACAUCCCACAGUUAGACACAUCUGCUACCCUUGUCGCACUUAAUCUGUGUACUUUCUUAGAUGGGAAGAAAACGCAAAUACUUUUGCAUAGGGAAAACAGAUAUAACGCUACAGGUAGCAAAAAAUAAGAUACCUGUCAGCUUUCUCAUUGUACUUAAUGAGUUUAC
rnacentral:lncRNA from 1 species